UGGGCCAGGGCAAAUCACACAGCCACAGUU
rnacentral:piRNA from 1 species